GGCAUGUCCGGUAGAUGUCCAAGGGGUCGUAUGUGGCAAUUUCUUUUCAUCGAUGCAGCCCGACAAGAAAAUCUUUCAAUUGAAUUAACGAAUACAGGUGAUGAGAUUCAAUGACCUACUUACAUGUACUUGAAACCAUAGAGGCUACACACGAUGUCUGAGAUUACCAUCCUCAAUAUGUAUUAUAUUUACAAUGAUUUGCACAAGAAAGAAUGAAAAUAUUGAUCACAUAUUUCUUAUCAGUAUUAUUUCGACUCACCGUACUGAUUCAUUGUCAUUAAAAAAAAACAACCUAAGUCGCAUGUAUUAAAUACAAAUGAUAGAAAUCUUUAAAUCACUCAGAGAUCUCAUCACAUUGAAUAG